rnacentral:lncRNA from 1 species
UGUAAGAGCUACCAGAGGGAGGAAAGUGGAAGCUACCAGACGGAGGAAGCAUAAACCAGGUCCUGAUCCCUGAUUAAUUGAGAAUCAGCCAGCUUGGGAAGGGGAUGGCUGCGCAAGCCCACAGAACGCAGACUCCCAGAGGAGGCAGGGGUAGGAAAGCUCUUGGCUGUGGCCUGACUGUCUGGGAGACGGGAGUCAAGAUGGCUUGGUUUCAACAAACUGGCUUUGAUUACUUGGCGUUUGGCUCUGUGCUCUCUGGCCAGGUCAGCCUGACCCAAGGUUGUCACCCCAGAGGACUGUGAAAUAACAAGUGCAGUUAACUGGCCACUGCUGAUCUGCGCCUAGAAGACAACGUCUCAGUUGUUAAGGCUUUUGUUGGCCUGCUCAGGAAGCGAUUCUUUUUGCCUGCAAAUUAUUGUAGGUUCCUGAGGGAACCGUGCCAGUCCUUGCCCUUUAGCUGCUCUGCUCUGUGCUGGGCUUGGGGGGUCAAAAUUUUAAGGAGACAGAAUCCAACAGGGCUGGGAUUAGGAUGAAGUGAAUGAGGCUGAGCUGUGCAAAUACGAGGUCAGAUCCUGACCCUUCCAGUGUGUCAGACACAUUUACACACAGAGAAAAAUAGGCAAUCCAAAUGGUCUAACUCUAUUGGAUAUUCUCUAUGCUGCUUUCAUUCACUCAAUAAUGUGUAGUUGAGCACUUUUCUGUGUCAAUGAAUAUAGUUCCACAUUAUCCUGGGCUUGAAGGAUGUGUUAUCAAAUAUUUUACUAACCCCCCACUGAUGCAUCUAAGAUGGACAUUCCAAUUAUUUUGAAUUUUUCAAUGUUAACAUGUUCACCACCCAUAUGGAUUUUGGCAUAUUAAUAGCUCCCACCCCCUCCUUUGGGGAUGUGGUCCAUACAAGCCAAGGGUAACAGAAGAAGGUAAAGUAGAGAAAAGAGACAGAAACUCUGAAAUGCUACCAUGCAUCUCAGAGUUAUGUCCUAUAAAAUGAGCCUUUUCAGUAUGUGCUGUGGCAUCAAAAGUGUUGAGAAGCAUUGUUCUCACUGGAGGAGUAAUUGGUUCAUGUUCUGAGCCUCUGCCAAGCUGAGUAUAUGAGACCUUUUGAUUUACCUGAGCAGUUGAGCAUCUGUGCCUCAGGACUCUCUAGUUCUACCAUCAAGACAGAGAAUGGUGUGAUACUCAGGUUAACAAGGUGAGUCCAGGAGUGUUGCCCUGGAGGCAUAAAACAGGGGCCCAGCCUUUGGAGAUAAAGCAUGCUCUGGUCCUAAAUGGCAGCAGGAGAAGAAUCUUCCCAAAGUGAGAGUCAGGCCACAAUACCUCCCCUGGGAGGACGUCUGUGCCUGUGUAUGUUGGAGAGAGAAGGAGCUUUUUCAUCCCAAGUGAGUAGAGAGGUUACAUCCUCUGACUGCUUCCCCUGCUGUGAAGGCCAAGUAUGACUUCACAGAAUCCCUAAGCUCCAUAAAUCAGUUCUAGAUCCAUCCCUUGCAGCUGUAAUGAAAGCAGGAUUUUAAUAAAAACUGGAUACUUC